rnacentral:rRNA from 1 species
AAUCAACGCUGGCGGCGUGCCUAACACAUGCAAGUCGAACGAGAAAGUCCCCGCAAGGGGAUGAGUAAAGUGGCGACCGGGUGAGUAACACGUGACUAACCUACCCUGAAGCGGGGAAUAACCUCGGGAAACCGGGGCUAAUACCGCAUACCUUCCAGAGGGGAAGAUCCUGUGGAGGAAACGAGCAAUCGGCUUUAGGAGGGGGUCGCGCCCGAUUAGGUAGUUGGCGGGGUAACGGCCCACCAAGCCUUUGAUCGGUAGCCGGCCUGAGAGGGCGCACGGCCACACUGGAACUGAAACACGGUCCAGACUCCUACGGGAGGCAGCAGUGGGGAAUUUUGCGCAAUGGGGGAAACCCUGACGCAGCAACGCCGCGUGGAGGAUGAAGUCCCUUGGGACGUAAACUCCUUUCGACCGGGACGAUGAUGACGGUACCGGUGGAAGAAGCCCCGGCUAACUUCGUGCCAGCCGCCGCGGU